CCCGAAGGCAUUUAUAACUGUCAACCUUUAUUUCGGAUGAAACCUAUUGUUAGUAUACCUGCUGUAAUUUGACAGAAUAGCACACAUUAGCAUGGAAUGCUGGGGUUAAGGUUAACGCAUGUACUCUCUUGGGAGAUUAGCUGCAUGGAAAGGCGGCAUAUCGGGAUACAAGGUUGGUAUCCAGGUUCGUGAAAGCUGGCGCAGUUUACACAUGGCUGAAGACGGGACCUGAAGCCAACAUUCCAGUUUCCUUUUCAAGCCCUUCUAACAAAACUUGACUCUUACUAACCCAUUCAGUCUCCUCCCUCCUACAGUCAGCCUUUUUUCUAACGUCAGAUUAAAGCUAUCGACCUCACGAGCUUUGGUUUCUCUCAGGCGAGCUUGUUACAAUCCAUUACUGACGUAUCCCGAACUUCCAAACCUUUACGGUUUUCUGCCAGUCUUCUUCCUGCUAGUCCAGGCCAUCCCUCCACAUUCUGGACACUUUUGCUAGAAAAUUAGCCUCUGUGCUCUUUACACCGAGGCAUUCAGCUCCUUCAUUUUUCCCUUUUCUUAGGCCACCUCCCUCAGCAAGGUUCUCCUGAGACAUAUCCCAGAUUAAACCACAAGGAACAUUAAUCAUUAAUCGACUGACCUGGUAAUAGUCGUCACACGUAAUUAACUGAAAGGUAAAUGAGCUUUGGAUGCAUAUUAAGCACAAAGGUGUUGUUCAUACACAGCACGUACUUUGCUAUCGUGGAAGUGGAACUGUGAACAAACCGAGGAUAAGUGUGCGGUGUGUCUGUAGUGUCACGGUUAGGAUGCAUGAUGGGAUGGGUGGCCUGAAACCAUUACCCAGUUAUCAGGGUCACAGCUUUUACCUCUGACUGUUCCAAAGCACUGACACUGGAGACUCCUUCCAAUACACGUUAAAUAAACCUCCUCACAAAAAAUAUCAACACGUUUUUGAAUUCCUUUAUUAUUAGUCGCACAUCCACCAUACUAGUCCCCGUGAAUGAGCCGUUACUAUAGAAACGAUAAGGUAUUAGAACGAGCGCAUUAAUAUAUUAAAACCUGUGAUUUGCAGCUGCAUUAGUGUCAGAGCUGCUGUCCUAGAAAAUUCAUCAAGACCAAUCAACAGAAUUCAACGUUACACACUGUUUGGGAAUGCGAUAGCUUCUGAAACGUAAAAACCCCAGCAGACAUAACGACUGAUAUUAUACCCAUUCGUCCCAUCCGCACUCGUUUCCUUCCAGCUGCUACUCCAUUUUGCUUCUAUUUCCGUUUCUCAUCAAGCCUCUCUCGGGCUCCUGCGUAAAAACGUGGCUUACGGACAACAAAAACAACAAACGCAACCGUUUCCCCGGGCACACACCUGAGGUAACAGAAUGGAAAUGUCGACCUGAACUAUCUUCAAAACUACUAUCUGGGUGAAAAGCAUUGAAAAUGGUUCAACCCGAGAUAAAAACGUAUUUGAGUCAAGCCAUGGUCGUGCUUUGCUCCGGUGUACUGGUGCGUGUGUGGAGCAACUGGCAACGUGUGCAUCUGUGCUGUUUAACAUUUACGGAAGGAGUCUCCAGCGUCAGCGAUUUGGAACGGUCUGAGGUAAAAGUGUAACAGCGGAGUUGACGGUUUACGUUUUUCCCACGUUUUUUGUUUUGUCAGUUCGAACUUGUUAACGUUAAGAGAGACUUUUGUCUGUAGCUGCUAUAACGUAAGUGACAACAGGAACGAGCUCGCUUCGUGGACGUUCCAUAACGUUAACCGUCGCCGUGAACUGACCAAAAAAAAAAAAAAAGUGUGAUGUUUCGUUUUUUAAGAAUAUAAACAAAUAAAUAAAUAAAUCCACCUGUGUGCGGAUAUAUCGUGUUUUUUUCCUCCGGUACAUGCGCCGGAGUGUGAACCGUGUGUAUGGUGCAGUAGCAAGCCGCUGGAGAAGAGGACUCCGGCGUGUGCGCGCGUGUGUGUGUGUGUGGAACACGACCUUUUCCAAACCUCGUCUGCGAAAGGUUGCUCUGCAGCAGAUCUUUUGUUCACGCCGCACGAAGACUAUUUUCGGGUUUGUAAUUGGGCCCGGAGAAACCCAGCGAUGCUCCCGGUGACAGACCGCCGUCCACAUCGAACACGUGAACAUGAAAAACGGAGAGAGAGAGAGAGAGAGAGAGAGAGAGAGAGAGAGACGCCACCAGCGAGAGAGAGAGAGAAAGAGAGAGACAGUGAGAGAGAGACAUCGAGAGAGAGAGACAGUGAGAGAGAGAGAUACAUUGAGAGAGACAGCGUGAGAGAGAGAGAGACAGUGAGCGAGAGAGAGACAACCGAGAGAGAGAGAGAGAGACAUCGAGAGAGAGAGAGACAUUGAGAGAGAGACAUCAAGAGAGGAGAGAUAGACAUCAAAAGAGAGACAUCGAGAGAGAGAGAGACAUUGAGAGAGAGACACUGAGAGAGAGAGAGACAUUGAGAGAGACAUUGAGAGAGAGAGAGAGAGACAUCAAGAUAGAGAGAGAGAUAGACAUCGAGAGAGAGAGAGAUUGAGAGAGAGACAUCGAGAGAGAGAUCGAGAGAGAGACAUCAAGAGAGAGAGAGAGACAUCGGGAGAGAGAGACAUCGAGAGAGAGAUCGAGAGAGAGACAUCGAGAGAGAGACAAUCGAGAGAGAGACAUCGAGAGAGAGAGACAUCGAGAGAGAG
ensembl:lncRNA